GAUGAACGCUAGCGGCAGGCUUAACACAUGCAAGUCGAGGGGCAGCGCGGAUGUUAGCAAUAACAUCUGGCGGCGACCGGCGCAAGGGUGCGUAACGCGUGAGCAACUUGCCCGUUUCUGGGGAAUAACCGGUGGAAACGCCGACUAAUACCCCAUAGCAUCACAAUGAGGCAUCUUUUUGUGAUUAAAGAAUUUCGGAUAAGGAUAGGCUCGCGUGACAUUAGCUAGACGGCGGGGUAACGGCCCACCGUGGCGACGAUGUCUAGGGGUUCUGAGAGGAAGGUCCCCCACACUGGAACUGAGACACGGUCCAGACUCCUACGGGAGGCAGCAGUGAGGAAUAUUGGUCAAUGGUCUGACGACUGAACCAGCCAUGCCGCGUGAAGGUCACGGCCCUAUGGGUCUUAAACUUCUUUUGCGAGGGAGCAAUAAGGUCUACGUGUAGGCCGAUGAGAGUACCUCGCGAAUAAGCAUCGGCU
rnacentral:rRNA from 1 species